GUUAAGUAUGAGAACCACUUGGGUUGGCGGGCGGAGAAAGGAAAGGUCUUUCGUCUAGACCCGCAGGUCGGAGGGUGACGUGACUUUCACAGUUGUGACUGGAGGGGCCAGGACGGUCUCCUUGACAGCCGGCUCGGAGCGCCUGUGACUACAAAGUUCGCACACCUUGUUGGGUUUUAUCCCUGGAUCGACUGGACACUCGGAGUUCCAGUUCCUGGUCUCUAAGCUGUGGCGACGGAGCUCCGGACAGACCCUCUUGAGCCCCUCGCCGAGAGCCAGCUCGCGCAAGGACCAGUGUUCCACGCCCCCGCCACCCUCGUCACCGCGGGGAACUCUGCGCCGGCGGCCGGCAGGCAGGUGGGCGAGCGCGCCGGCUAGAUUCUAGCUACAUCAGAAACUGGUCAUUUUCUAAAACUAAAGGAGAAAACUAGGAAGGGGUGAUGAAUUCUUUCUGAGUUUCAAGUUACAAAAUAAAACGUAAGUAUUGAUGAUUUCA
rnacentral:lncRNA from 1 species